AUACGUAGGUGACAAGCGUUAUCCGGAUUUACUGGGCGUAAAGGGCGUGUAGGCGGUCUUGCAAGUCAGAAGUGAAAUUCCUGAGCUCAACUCGGGCGCUGCUUCUGAAACUGCAGGACUUGAGUGCUGGAGGGGAUAGCGGAAUUCCUAGUGGAGCGGUAAAAUGCGCAGAUAUUAGGAAGAACACCGGUGGCGAAGGCGGCUAUCUGGACAGUAACUGACGCUGAGGCGCGAAAGCGUGGGGAGCAAACAGGAUUAGAUACCCUGGUAUUCCACGCCGUAAACGAUGAAUACUAGGUGUAGGGGGUAUCGACUCCCUCUGUGCCGCAGUUAACACAAUAAGUAUUCCGCCUGGGGAGUACGGCCGCAAGGUUGAAACUUAAAGGAAUUGACGGGG
rnacentral:rRNA from 1 species